UACGUAGGUGGCGAGCGUUGUCCGGAUUAUUGGGCGUAAAGCGCGCGCAGGUGGUGCGGUAAGUCUGUCGUGAAAUCUCCUGGCUCAACUGGGAGGGUGCGGUGGAGACUGCCGGACUGGAGGCACUCAGAGGCCGGUGGAAUCCCGGUGUAGUGGUGAAUGCGUAGAGAUCGGGAGGAACACCAGUGGCGAAGGCGGCCGGCUGGGGGUGACCUGACGCUGAGGCGCGAAAGCGUGGGGAGCGAACCGGG
rnacentral:rRNA from 1 species